rnacentral:rRNA from 1 species
UACGAAGGGAGCUAGCGUUGUUCGGAAUCACUGGGCGUAAAGCGCACGUAGGCGGAUGUGUCAGUCAGGGGUGAAAUCCCGGAGCUCAACUUCGGAACUGCCUUUGAUACAGCACGUCUUGAGUCCGAUAGAGGUGGGUGGAAUUCCUAGUGUAGAGGUGAAAUUCGUAGAUAUUGGGAAGAACACCGGUGGCGAAGGCGGCUCACUGGCUCAUUACUGACGCUCAGGCGCGACAGCGUGGGGAUCAAACAGG